UCAAAGUGAACCGCAUUUCUUUUAUUUGUUUUCUAAUCUUUUUUCACAUUUCCGUGUUGUGCGCAAGCGAACAGUAUCACUCCCAAAAGUGAACCACAUCGAGGACCAAACACACUGCAGGAUUUGAUGAUAGUCAACUGAUUUUCCGAGACACACAAACAAAUUGCACUUCACACAUAGGAAUAAUGAGUUGGUACACAAAUUAGAGGAACUACUUGUUUCUCUUCUCCCACGCGACAUUCCGCACCAAAUCAUAGGGCAAACAGGCCACGCGCCGCCGAACCACAUUUGCGCGCCCUGGCGCACUUCAAGUCUGCAGACGCCCAGACUGCAAGAGGAGGGAAAACACGCUCCUGGCGAUCUGGAGCAUGGUUAGUGAAUCUGAGGCUGGUCAUUAUUGUGACCAAAACUGCAUCAAACUAAUCUGCUAGAAACUCCACUUUAAUGAACUACAGAUAAAACACAAGGCCAGACCUGAAAAAAUAAAAAAAAAUGCUAUGGACUGCUUAGAGAGGACUCUGCACUGCGUCAAUAACACUCAAACCUGCACCAAAAACACUCCGCACUGCAACAGUGCGUUAGCCGCACCGCACCUAUCCACUAUCCAGAGCUGCAAUGGUUUUGGUGCAGUGAAAAACAGAGAAUGGGACUACGACAAAAACCAAAAAGGGGACCAGCUUGAAUAAGUCUGCAGCUGUGCGGGUCAGCUGGCUCCUCUCUCUUCUAGAGAGUCUUUUCCCGUUGGCUAGCUUCAGCAAUAAUCUGGACGAAAAAUCCUAACAUCUAGCCACAGCAGCCGCAAGCCAAGCCAAGAGUGCUGCAAGGUUGAAAAGAUCUCGUCUUUGACUGAAAUUAAGAGUGCAAUCAGCCCCAAGAACUAGUACUUCCUGAGUAACAAUAUUCAGUAACUAAUCUGAAAUUUUGAAUCAGCGCAUAUCAAACUAGAUGUUUGAUCACCUGCCCACGGAAGCCACUCCUUUCAUUGCAGGACCAAUCACAGGAACACUUGAUGGAAACUUUUCUAUCACAGACCUCUGUUCUUCAUUCUUCACUUCGGGUUUGGCUUUGGUUUCACCAAGCGCACUGCUUUUACAAAGAAAAGAUGUUUACAAACUGUACAACGGAGUUGCCCACGUACUACACCAGCAAGCGAGCUGCACAACAAACUUCAAUGAACUUUUCUUAAAAAAACACAGAGGACAUGAAACUUAACUGCAUGCCACACACAGCCAUGGUGUCGCUGCCAGGGGCGAACUGCAUGGAGACGUUGCGAGCCUUCCUUCUGCAGUAGAGGAAGGAGAUGGGUGGCGAGGAGCAGCAGUCACCUCCAACAAAAGGAUUCUAGCACAUUGCACUACCUGAAUACAUAGUGGACUGCAUCGCUUGUGCCCACAAACAGCAGGGUCUAAACGGGAGGUGCACGAGCAGAAAAAUGAAGAGACAAGCUCGGGCCACUGCUCGUUGGAGGCCGACGCCGGCGAUGUGGGGCCCCACUGGUGAGGCGCACAUUAGAGAAGGUCACACGCAUCUAAGUUAGUGGACCUACAGAGUUGGUAGUCGGGAUUGGAGGCUCACCGGGCCUAUCCUUGGAGGAGAAAAAGGGUGGAGGAAGGGCAGAAGAGGACGGCGCUGGGCAUCCAACCCCCAUGACCGCACAUCACCACCGCCCUCCCUCCAGCAACCGAGCUGCAGUGGAGCACCACCCGAACCGCUCAACCCUUGCCCUCCCAGUAGCAAGAUCUCGUGGGCUAUCCAGGGGUGCAGGAUGGGAGUGAUUCAUGCACCCAUGCAAUUGACUGCACGACACUGGAUUUGGCCGCUACGAUGCAGAAAGAGAUCACCGAGGCGGGGGUUGUAGCGGCAGUCAACGCCCACGGUGCUCGCGGGCAGGGGCGCGGUGGCGGCCUGGGAAGGGGCGGAGCAGCGCCGGCGUAGGAAGGGGCGGCGCGGCAGCUGUCUGUGGAGGGGUGGCGGCAGUGGUCUGGGGAGGGGCGGCCGGGGCCUGGUGGGGAGGGAGGUCGGGAUGGGAGGCGUGGGCGAAAUCCAGACCGUCGUGUGGCGUUGGGAAGGGAGGGGAGGUGAUGCGCGGCGCGGGGUGGGAUGGCUCCCGCGGCGGCCGGCGGAGGGGGGUGCGUGGUGCGCGGCGCGGUGGCCGGUGGUGGAGAUCCUGGGCGGCGUGGUGGGAGGUUGGUGACGAGAGGAAGAUUGCGGAGGGGAUCGGGAGGUAGGUGCGGUCGUGGGAGCGGUGUGGGGAGAGGGGGUGGGGGUUCGUGGCCUCGUUGGGCAGAAGCGGUGGGAUUUUUUACCACGCAGCUCGGUUGGCUUUUUAGCGGGGUUCGGUUCGGGGUCAUCGGGGUGUUAGCAGAAUAAGGCAGGAUGUGCAGAAUAAGGUCUUAAGGGGGGUUAUCAUAAUAGACCCACCCUAUAUAUAUAUAUAUAUAUAUAUAUAUAUGUGUGUGUGUGUGUGUGUGUGUGUUGGAAUCAUUUUGCUUACAUCAAAGAAAUUUACAGAUGUCUGUGUUGCUGGUAAACGGUACCGACUUGUUACUUUAAUACGUUGCCAAGAACUUGUUAGUUUUACUAGUUCAUGUGUAAUUAAAUAUAUUGCCAAAAUUGGUUAGUUUUACUAGUUUGACGUUAUUUUCCUAUGGCUCUUGCAACACUUUAUUUACGAUUGCUAACAUUCAAGUUUGUAGGAUCCAACUGAAGCUCUCUUUGCACAACAGGUAUGUCGUCGGAAACUUCUUGUUUACCUGGUUUGCUGCUGUAACUUGUUGUUGUAAUCAUCUUACCAACUUCAAGUUUUCAGGAUCCAAUUGGAAGCCCAAUUGCAUAGCAGGUAUAUUUUCAAAAAUAUAUUUGUGUAAUAGGUUUGCUGCUGCAAUCGGUUGCUCUAAUCAUGUUACUGGCUACUCAACUUUUCAGGAUCCAAGAGAAACUCCAAUGCCACUACAGGUACCUUUUGCAAAACUUGUUUAUUUAACUGCCUUGCUGCUGCAACCGGUUACAAUGAUGUUAAUAACUACUUUUUAGCAUCCAAUUGAAACUCUUUAAUUCCUUGUUUAUUUAACUAGUUUGCUGUUAUAGCUCCCAGUUGAGAUGUUUUGCUAAUUUCAACUUUUUGGAAUCCAAUCAGAACUUUAAUGGCAAAACAGGUUAGCCCAAGAUCAAAGAGCAAGGUCCCCAUGGACGUUGUAUCAUCCCACAACAGUGGCACCGGCCCAAUCGUGCAUCAUGAAUUGCCAACUGCUGAUGCUCUAGAGGCUACACUAUUGGUAGAAAGAGAUUCUACUUCUGCACUUAGAGAUGAAGUUGACAUGUUGAGGAAGCAGACAGCACAAUCACAAGCAGUACUCAAGACAACCAUUAAAUAUUUGGUGGAUUUCAAAACUAAGCAAGCUGAGACUGGCCGCAUUGUUAAGGUCCUGAAGGAAAAAAGGAAAUUAAAUUCCCACUUAGUAAAUCAUGGGUGAAAUCUUCUUUCCAUUGUUGAAUAACCUUUGUGUUGUUUGUUCAUAUAAUCGAUCAAACCAUUUGUUUUAGAGAUCAUGUAAUAAUUGUUUUUUGUUUUUUUGGGUUGUAAACUUUUUUUAGCACAAGUCUGUAUUAAUUGAUAAGACUCUGAGACAUUUCAUUUUGAUUGAUGUGCCAAACCUACAAAUAUGCCAAUCGGACUAAAUGUGCAUUCAACAAUAAUAGUAGUAUAAAUGGUCCUUAAGUGGCAUGCAUCUGAAAGGGCCAAGAUGUUGUACUAGCUUUGCUAAAAAAGGAUGCUCUUCUAGCAAAAAAGUACAACGGCCUGGCUUAUGUAUGUUAGUUGAUAUUAUUGAUCCAUAUACUCUAUAAGUGUUUAUAUGUGUCGGUGUCAAAACCGGCGGAUCUCGGAUAGGGGGUCCCGAACUGUGCGUCUAAUGCUAAUGGUAACAAGAGGCAGGGGACACGAUGUUUACCCAGAUUCGGGCCCUCUUGAUGGAGGUAAUACCCUACUACUCCUUCUUGAUUGAUCUUGAUGAUAUGAGUAUUACAAGGGUUGAUCAACCAUGAGAUCAUAAAGGCUAAACCCUAGAAGCUAGCCUAUGAUUAUGAUUGUUGUUGUCCUACGGACUAAACCCUCCAGUUUAUAUAGGCACCAGAGGGGGCGAGGGUUACACAGAGUCGGUUACAAAGAAGGAGAUCUACAUAUCCGAAUUGCCAAGCUUGCCUUCCACGCAAAGAGUCCCAUCCGGACACAUGACGAAGUCUUCAAUCUUGUAUCUUCAUAGUCCAACAGUCCGGCCAAAGUAUAUAGUCCGGCUGUCCGAGGACCCCUUAAUCCAGGACUCCCUCAAUAGCCCCUGAACCAGGCUUCAAUGACGAUGAGUCCGGUGCGCAGAUUGUCUUCGGCAUUGCAAGGUGGGUUCCUUCUCCGAAUACUCCAUAGAAGGUAUCGAACACAAGGAUCGUGUCCGGCUCUGCAAAACAAAUUCCACAUACCACCGUAGAGAGCACAAUAUUCCACAAACCUAAUCUGCUGACAGCUUUUCAUAGCCUGACGUCACACCAUGGUCUGGUCUUUAUUCGAACCGUUUUUCAUAGCCAGCUACUUCACAUAAUGCGAGGCAGUUUCCUUGACACGUCUUGUCGAAGCAGAGAUCGUGUCCCCUUAUCGCAGGAUUCUCAUCAAUACGGGCAUGGGUAACCCAACUGUGCCAUCAAUCGUGGCGCUUGGGGAAUAAGCGAUUUUAACGGGCAAGUGGGGAGGCGCAUAGUUUCUAUCGCCUUUAUAAGGAGAUAGGGAUUCUCCUUUUUCACCCAUGCCUUCUCCUUCCCUUGAUCAUCCAUUCUCGCACGCUCGAGCUCUAGCGCCCAGUUCUCACCUUCUCCGUACAGCCAUUCCAAACAUGUCCGGAGCGGGAGGCAAGUGGAUGGCCUCCUCCGUCACGUAGGAGGACAUUAUUGCGGCCAUCCCACCCCGCGCCCUCCCCUUAAAUUCAGCAACCAAUUGAGCAACAUGUUUGAAAAUGCGGCCAUCCCACCCCGCGCCCUCCCCUUAAAUUCAGACCCCUGCCAAAGGCCUUCUCAUCCACAACAACACAAGUAUCCAUUGCGCUACUACCAAAUCACUCCAUAUCCACGCAAAAACACCAAGCCCUACUACCGGCGAUGGCGUUCACCGACAAGUACAAGGGCGACAAGGUCGUGGAGGCCCACGGCAACACCAAGUUGCACGUCAUCCACACCAACAACAAGAAGCAGAUGGCGAUCUCCCUCGCAUAGUACAAGCGCCACCUUAACCUCCAGCGCCACAAGAUCGUCGGCAUUGUUCUCGAGUACAACAAUGAGCCUGAAGCGACGCAGAAACCCGCCCUCUGCCAACUCUCCAUUGGCAAGAAUCACCCAGUGCUGCUCUUCCAACUGAGCGCCGCUGAAAGGUGCACCGUCUUUGAAAACUUCCUCGCCGACCCCAGGUACACCUUUGCAGGCUUCUCCAUCGACGGCGACAAAACUAGGCUAGAGCGUGUCAAUCUGGAGGUUGCCAACUUCAUCGACAUCUAGAAGGAGUGGAGGGUGCCCGAGGCAACCAAGGAGUUGGAAUCCCUUGGAGACGUCUCCGGCAUGCUCAUCGACGACUACUACAACAACAUGAAGAAGAAGAUCACCGAUGAUGAACACAAGCGUUGGGCCACCCUGCCUCUGUCCAUGAGGCACAUCGAGUACGCGGCAAAGGACGCCUACAUAGCAUACGAGAUAUGGAACCACAUCACCCUCACCCAGGACGGGCUUCGCCGUGCAAAGCUGGAGAAGGAGGAGCCCCCCAAGAAGCGUGCCAGGAGCAGCUGGGGAUGGGGAGACACUAACUGGUGAAGAAGAAGAUGGUGCCGGCCAAGAGCCAACAAUGCCAGCGUCUUUUUAGAAUUAUCAUCAAAUUUUCUUUGUGUUCUUUGCUUAUGUAUCGUUAGUUUGCUUGUGUGCUGAACUUAGUUUGCUUACCAUGCAGAAUCACUUGUAAUGAUGAACUUUGAUUAUGUUAGAUUGCUUUCUAUUCAACUUAGUUUGUUGAUGAUGAACUUGUCGUACAGAAUGCUUGUGAUAAUUUGUUUUCUGCUGUUUGCUCAUGUAUCAUUAGAUUUGAGCAGUGCACAAAACGAAAAUAAGAUGCAAUAUGCAAACAGGACACAUGCAGUGCAAAUUGUGUACGAAUGCAGUACAGACUCUGUCGAAUGAGGUUUACACAUACCCAACAAAGCAGUGCACGCCCCUAAAUUUGAAAAAAGAAUACAUAAGAGCAAAAACACAAAAAGAAAAACACAACCUGUAUAUGUAGUGCGGAAAUAUGUGAACGUGCAGUACAGAACCAUAAUCAAUGCAGUAUACGUAUGAUUUACUAAGUAGUGCACUCCCAUACAUUGGAAAAAAAAGAUGACAUAAUAGCAAAAAUACGGAAACAAAAAUAAGAACUGUACAUGCAGUACGAAAUGCGUGCACAUGCAGUACAGAACCCUGAUCAAUGUAGUGCACGGAUGAUUUACUAAAAGCAGUGCAUGCCCCAACAUUGAAAAAAAAUACUUAAGACAGAAAAAUACAAAGAAAAUAAAUUGACCACCCAGGUGCAACCGGCCCCAGCCAGUCUCGUAAUAGGUCUGCGCCCACAAAAUGCGAGUCGUUCUGAGUCACAAUGCAUGGGGCCGGCCACACAUGGGCCCACAAGUCAGAGAGCAUAGAGCAUUAAGCGCCGUGUAUAAGCGCCCAAAUAAGUAACCAGAGGAGUUCGAUACGGCGGCCUCGCCAGUGCUUAUAAACAGGUCGGGCGCACCUUUUGUGGGCGAGGUGGGACUAAAAAUUAGGCCACACACAAUGCACCAGGAACCAGCCUUGCUGACAGGCCGACUUGGGCCCAACGCGUCUUCACUACCCGAACACAGGGCCAACACACAAAAGAGAGGCCACUGAAAAUUAAAAAAAAAUCCCACAUACCAUACACAAACACAGGCCCAACCACGCGUUCCGCAGUUCGUCGUGAUAUGACAAUGCAGUUCACUAUUUUCAAGUAAGCAGCCCUGUUGCUUCUCAAAUGCAUUCAUGUACACCGAAUCAGAACCAAUCCACCACCUAACACCAACCACAACAUUUAUUACUUCCAUUGCUCAAUUGGUUGCAUAAAAACGUAUCCAUUCGUGCUCCAGACUAACACAACUCCUCCCCCUGUUCCUCAUUUUCUUCAAAUCGUAGAUCUAGGGUUCAUCACAUCCCUAGCUCUUCUCUGGAAUUCCACUGAACCCGCCAUGGACUGUAAGUGUGGGUGUUUGGCAAGGAUGGCGCAGAUAGUGGACACAUGCGUGUAUGCAGAAGGUCUAGAGCUCACAAACACCGAGUGGCGCAGCAUGCUCGGGUGCUUGAUGAUACCCAAUAGGGGGUUUCGUGCGCCAUUUCUUCAUCGCCUCACAACCGCAGAUCUGCAGGAAAGUUGGGUAUGUUUUUCCCCUCACAAUUUUGGACAUAAUCUAACUCGCAAAUCCACAUCUGAAUAUAUAGUUCAAUCAAUUUGUUCAGUAGUGUCAACAAAAUACAAAAUAGAAUUUGUAUUGUUGUUCAGAUUUGUUAGCUAUUAAGAUUAGAUGCUUCCACCUAUCUUUCUUCAGUACCACACCAGAUAUCGACAAUAGUUAGAUCAGAAUCCCAACACACGAACAAAAAAAGGGUCAGUAGAUACGCGUUGCAGUUCUCUUAACAUGCUGGCAAAGUACACUAUUACUGACAUUGCAGUACAAGCAUGUUGCAGUAUAAUAUAUAUCCUAGUAAAACUAGGGGUCAAUUCCGUAUAUAAGUUUGUUCAUACAUUGCAACUACUUUAGAAAAUAGCAGUCAUAUAUAUGUAAGUAUUUAAGUCAACAUAAACAGAUCAUCCUAAGUAUAAAAGAAAAACAUUUGUUGUUUACUAUAAAAUUCUUUUUCCACCCAUUCCAAUAUGCAGAAACUGCCAUCCACAAUAAAAUUUCCUGCACCGAGUUCAGGGAAGGUUACAUUGGAGACACAACACAAGAAUGGGUAUGCAGACAUGCAAGCUGACUACCACAUCGACUCUGAAGACUGCAUCAACAUAACUACUGGUUGGAAAGAUUUUGUCUCCUAGAAUGGCUUUGAGGUCGAAGAAGUGGCCAUGGUGUUUUUCUACAAAGAAGAAGACUCUAUCAAGUUUACAAUAUUUGCACUCUAAGCUGUCUAGUACGAAGCAACCAAUAUUUCUAAUAUUUUGCUUAUGAUGUAUGCUUUUAAAAUUAUGUCCAUCAUACACUUUAAAUGAUGCCUAUUUAAAGUAUGCAACCUCAACUGCAUCAUUUUAUCAUCCUUUUAGACAAAGUUGUUGUUGGCAUUAAUGCAGUUCUCUCAAACACAUAGUAUGGUACUAAUAAUAAUAAAAAACCUGAACAGUAAUAAGGAAAUGCAAAUGGUCGAAACUUUGCAGUUAACAUAUGAUGUUCAAAAACAAUUCUCAUAGUAUGUAGUUCAAAAAAAUUGUUAUAAUAACAAUUCAGCUAACACAAGCAUAUAAUGGACCAUCCAUUCUAAUAGCAGAAUAGAACAUUAACAACACUGCUAAUGCAGUACGGAAGUGCAUAUUAUGCAGUCAUCUAGAACACAAAAUGCAGUUUAAGAAAAGAGAAAUCUCAUCAGCAGCCAUAACCACUGUAAUGCAGCUACAACAAAGUACACUACUAACAAAAAUGCAGUGCACUACAACGUAUGCCACGACUAUAACAAAUAAAAUUAAAGCAGUAAAACUACAGACAUGUGGUAGACUAACAGAGGUGUCAAUUUCACUCGCACUUCCAUAACUCACCUAAAAAUUGUACAACCACUAAACUAUCGAAAUACCCCCGCAAAAAAUUACAUGGAAGACACGACAACUGGACGAACAACAUCAGCUUUCAUUUAAAAAAUUCAAUUCAAAAAUGACAAUUAUACCCGCAAUACAAUGAAUUCAAACCUAUAGCAACAGUAAUUACAAUAUUCAAACACGCAUAGAUGGGCCAAAUCCAAAAAAUCAACAAGAACAGAGGAGUGGACGAAGCUCACCCGCCCGCACAAUCAAAUUAACAAGAAUUGAAAACUAACUCCUAACAAUUAACAAAUUAUAGGGUGAACGGACCGAUUAAAACGAAUGCAAUCAAAGAAUUCCUACUAAAAACAACAUCCGAGCACAAAAAAAAUUUGCAUCUCACGCGAACACGAACGAACAGAGAAAGCUCAUCCGUCAAAUCCCUCGAUUUGCAAGCACUCUAGUAGAUUUCCCUGUAAAUUAGAAAGAAUAAAGCUAAAAUGAGAUGCAGAGACAAACUGAAUCAUCCCGCAACACCCGAUUCCACACAGAAAACGCGGGCGGAACACCAGAAAAUGAAGCAGUUCUCCCGUGAAGCAUUGGAGUGCCCAACGUAAAGACGACGCAGUUCGCUUCUGUUGGACACACACAGACACACACACACACACAUUUUAUGGAGGUUUAUACUUUCUGAAUGUAUCUUUCAAAGUUUCAUUUCAGAACACCAUUAAUUUGACGCCGAUCAUAGGCCCUCUUUCGUAAAUAUCUUGAUAUGAGGUAUACCUAUAUCUGACAACUCUGAACACAUGGUAUACUAGUACUUCGAACAAUCAAAUAAAAUGUGUACACAUUGGAGACCACGCCCAUGUCUAAAGUGUUAUCUCUUUCCUAGUGAGUGGACCACACAAUUAAUUAGUUUGUCUAUGUAACACUCGAGCAAAGUGUGUUAUAUACCCACUUAUAGAAAAAACAGUAUAUACUUUGUUAGCGAAAUGCAAAUAUGCAAAUGUAGUACAUACUCUUUUCACAAAAAUGUGGUAUACACUCACUCACAAUAAAGUACUAUAUUCUUCUCGACAAAAUACUAGUAUAAACUCACUCACCAAAAAGUAGUAUGUAAUCUCAGGAAAAUAAGGUAUAUAACUUUCCUAAAAAUGGUAUAUACCAUUUAAAAAAUAGUAUACUAGUACAUACUCUAUAAUAUAUACCACUUCCAUCAGAGACAUGCGCAUAUACUAUAUACCAUCAGAUCCCCUUACAAAAAUACCAUAAGCUGAUAAGAAGCAUACCACGUACUAUGAUGUACAACUUGCAUUGAAAGAAAGCAGAUGAGGCGUGUUUUAAAACCAAAUACUACUGCAUACAUGAUCCCUUAAUUAUAGGAUCUACUCGCCAAAGUUCCAUGCGCCACAACUAAACAAUAUUCAAUUUUCUCUCUCUUGUGGUUCCUUAUUUAGCUGGCUACUACUCGAUAUAGUUAGGCCAACAGACCCGUUAAGUGGUGGGAGUAUGUACUCUUGGGAGUACAAAAGAUGAUCCCUUAAUUAGAGGAGGCUAGACAACUCGCUCCCAAGGCUGUCCCUCGCGAUGAGCUAUUCAGGCCAUUAGAUUUGGUCAACUCGAUCGUUUCAGCCGUCAGAUUUCCACCACCUGGUAAUCAAUUGUUUUCACCGCGCAGUACUUUGAAUGCCCAAUGAGGGGUGGGCUUGUUUUAUAUGUCUAUUGGAUGGGUGAGCCUUUCCCCGGUGCCAAUUGGCUCCUCGUGUGUCGCACUGGUGAUGUGAGGGCCUAUGGUUGGGCGUGGGCAUGAACCCAAGCCCCCCAGUCCCCAGAAGCCAUGGACGGGGCUUGCAUGCUCCCUACAUACACUCCCAUCCGUGCUUCCAUCUGGUUCAACAAACAUGAUUGUUCUGUGUGAAGGCCCACGUCUGCACCUUGCCACCUUCCCUUUCCUUCCCUGCGUCUCUUUCCCUCAUCCCUUCCUCUGUAACUCAUCGUCGAUCAUGGCGACCGCCUCGAGUGAUCCCAAAAAUCUCCAGUCGGCUUCUAUCGAUUUCGCAGCCUAUGGACGUAGCAAUCAGCCCCAAAAUAAAUUGAUAUAGCAAUAAAAAAUCAGAUGUAUGCGGCUAAGCUGGAUGUGUAUCGAUGUCUAUAUACAUCUCGAGGACGUAUGUCAUAGGUCUGGUAAUGGCAGGGAGGUGCAUGGACUCGGGUAUCGGGUCUAGCUGAGGCGACUGAGAGAGCAAGAAACGCGAUCAAGUGGGCGUCAUGGUGAUGGCGUAGCUUGAGCAGCGGACAGUGCACUACCAGGGACAGCUAGAACGUCAUACCUUCUUGGCCGCAUGGUUAGCGGCACCAGUUACCAGUCACCAGAUCCCCAACUGCUAGUUUACAUAUCCUCAUCGCCUAAGUAGCACCCCAGCUCUAGUGAGAAUUGAGAUAAGAAAGAUCGAUCAAUUAAUCAUUCGAUCAACUGGUGUCUAUAUGAACACUUGACGGAGCUGAUCACGAAAGCUGACAUGAAUAAAGGCUGAUAUCAUAUGGUACGCGUACGCGACGACUGGAGGGCACCAUGGUGCAGUGCGGGUAGGGGCUAGGACAUGCCAUAGAUUACAAAGGACCACACACUUUAAUUUUACCGACGCCGCUCUAUCUUUUUUAUGGCUGCGGCAAAGGACCCACUACUGCAGUAGCACGAGGAAUCCCUUUUGCCACAACGUCCUCUGUUCUCAUCGCCGGGUGAGGGGCGACUCAUAGUGUUCCCUCGAUUUUGGUCGUGAUAUUUUUGGGUUGCAAAAUUGAUAGAAGCCGGCUGAAGAUUUUUGGGAUCACGCGAGGUGGACGCCAUGAUCGAUGAUGAGUUACAGAGGAAGGGACGAGGAAAAGAUACGCAUGGGAAGGAAAGGGAAGGUGCAGACAUGGGCCUUCAGACAAAAUAAUCACGUCUGUUUAACCUGAUGGGAGCACAAAUGGGAGUAUACGCGGGGAGCAGGCAAGCCUCGGUGGGGGGCUUGCCUGCUCCCUGGAUAUACUCCCAUCCGUGCUCCCAUCUGGUUCAACGAACGUGAUUGUUCUAUGUGAAGACCCACGUCCGCACCUUGCCACCUUCCCUUUCCUUCCCUGCGUCUCUUUCCCUCAUCCCUUCCUCUAUAACUCAUCGUCGACCAUGGCGUCCGCGUCGCGUGAUCCCAAAAAUCUCCAACCGGCUUCUAUCGAUUUCGCAGCCUAUGGACAUAGCAAUCAGCCCCAAAAUAAAUCGAUAUAACAAUAAAAAAAUCAGAUGUGUGUGGCUAAGCUGGAUGUGUAUCGAUGUCUAUAUACAUCUCGAGGACGUAUGUCAUAGGUCUAGUAAUGGCAGGGCGGCGCAUGGACUCGGGUCUCGGGUUUAGCCAAGGCGGCUGAGAGAGCAAGAAACGCGAUCACAUGGGCGCCAUGGUGAUGGCGUAGCUUGAGCAGCGGACAGUGCGCUACCGGGGACAGCUAGAACGUCGUACCUGCUUGGCCGCAUGGUCGGGGGCACCAGUUACCAGUCACCAGAUCCCCAGCUGCUAGUUGACAUAUCCUCAUCACCUAAGUAGCACCCCAGCUCUGGUGAGAAUUGACAUAAGAAAGAUUGAUCAAUUAAUCAUUCGAUCAACUGGUGUCUAUAUGAACACUUGCCGGAGGUGAUCAUGAAAGAUGACAUGAAUAAAGGCUGAUAUCAUAUGGUAUGCAUACGCUGCGGCCGGAGGGCACCACGGUGCAGUGCGGGUAGGGGCUAGGACAUGCCAUAGAUUAUAAAGGACCACACGCUUUAAUUUUACCGGUGCCACUCUAUCUUUUUCAUGGCCGCGGCAAAGGACCCACUACUGCAGUAGCAUGAGGAACCCAUUUUGCCACAAUGUCCUGUGUUCUAAUCGCUGGGCGAGGGGCAACUCAAAGUUUUCCCUCGAUUUUGGUCGUGAUAUUUUUAGGUUGCGAAAUUGAUAGAAGCUGACUGAAGAUUUUUGGGAUCACGCAAGGCGAACGCCAUGAUUGAUGAUGAGUUACAGAGGAAGGGACGAGAAAAACAGACGCAUGGGAAGGAAAGGGAAGGUGCAGACGUGGGACUUCGGACAAAAUAAUCACGUCCGUUGAACCUGAUGGGAGCAUGGAUGGGAGUAUAUGCGGGGAGCAGGCAAGCCUCGUCCCACCGUCGCACCAUCUCCCUCCUCCCUCAGGACGAGACUUGCCUGCUCCCUUGCCAUGCUCCCAUCCAUGCUCCCGCGUACGUGGCUUGAUUUGAUUGGAAGAAAAUAAGACCCAACUCCACCCCCUGAAAAUCAGGGGGGAGAUGAUUAUAUUAGAAAAGAAAAAGGGAAAAGGACAGCCGUAGGAUGAAAUGAGAGCACGGAUGGGAGCAUGGAAAGGGAGCAGGCAAGCCGGAUCCCCUCCCUCAUGACUAGCUGUAGCACCAGGAGAUUGCCGCCCCUCCUCCCUCAUCACUAGGCGUAGCACUAGGAGAUUUUCUGCCGACGAGAUCCAGCGCCUCGCAAGGUCCUCGGGUCGGCUGUCGUGCCCGCCGCUCCUUCGACCAAAUUUGCGCCCUUGACUCCAUUUUCUCUUGCGUCGCGCGGUGCCUGCUGCUCCACCAUGUCGCGGUUACCUCGUGGAUGAUGGGGCCAUGGACCGGUCCUUGAAGGAGAGAAGGAAGAUGAGGGAGAGAGAAGGAAGGAGAGAGGAAAGAGGAGAGGGAGGUGCAGUGGCGGAUGGGAGAUGGUUAUCGGCCGGCAUCAGUCAUUCAGCCAUUCGCAUCUCUCCUCCUCUCCUGCUCUCAACCACCAAUGUGCCCCUCCUCCUUCCCUUCUCUUCUCACCAUCUCCUCAUCUAUGGAGCUAGCAGAGUCAUCCACAUCGAGGAAGAUGGGGAAGACAGAGCCAACACCGCCGAUGCCCACGGGCCACUUCAGUCAGGCGCCUUCCAUUCUUCCUCCCUUAGGAUUUUCAAUCCAAGGUUUGUUUUCCUUUGUAUCUAUAUAUGCUUCUACAUAAUAUUUGUUUUCUGUACUAUGCGCUUGACAAAAUGACAAGGCCUUGCAGCAGAAAAUAAAAUGGAGCCUGCAACAAGGAUGAUGGGAGAAACAACGGUGGCUGAACAGUAGACACCGAAAGCUGGCCGAGAAAGAGGGAGGCAGUGCAGGGCGGAAGAGGGCAUCCACGUGGUAUCCGUUUUUGCUCAUCUUUAGCUUACAGGUUACUAAAUUUUCUCCUCUUUUGUUGGUUCUCUUUGAUCAAUAGAACAAGUCGCACAUCACGUGUUUGCAUAAAUGCUUCUCACAUGUGAAGGCUUCUAUGUGCAGGUGAGCGGUUUACUAAAAUUGUAGCCAGUCCAUACUACAUGCUCCCAGAGGUAUUAAAGCACAACUAUGGCCCUGAAAUCGAUGUCUGGAUUGUAGGAGUUAUACUUUACGUACUUCUUUGUGGUGUGCAAACAUUUUUGGAAGGUACUUACUUUCCUUGAUUGGACAGAAUAUAUGUUGUGAAGAAAUUAUAAAUCACCUUACAAAAUGUUGUGAUGUUGUGCAGAUUCUGAACAGGUCAUAGCACAAGCAAUUAUGAGCUCUGUGAUAGAUUUUUCAGGACCCCGAUUCUAUGUCACACCGAUCUAGCAUGUAACACCUCAUAUCACUUUGCGGCCUCACGCACGGUAUUCCCACAGGUGUCGCCUUACCAUGCCCGGGACCGUUUGCGCCUUUUGGCACACGUAUAUGAUAGUGUCGCUAGCAUCUAUAUGACAAAGAACCUGGGCUGACAUGGCUAGUCGUGAACCCAAAGUGGCACUAACUUACAGGGACAUGCAUACAUGACCUAGCAACGAACAUGUCGGUCAUCAGCGAGUGAAUCCGGGCUGUAGCAACUGUGCUAGCAGGACUCUGGUAAACCGGGCUGUAGCAGGCUAACAGGACUCCAGUAGACACAGCGUGACAUUUCCCCGAAGGGACAGACACAGGAACGAAGAAGGACACAUGCCGGCCAGCCUAAGUGUUCCGGAGUAGUAGCAAGCUACCAUGGCUCAAUGGAAGCACUAGGAGACAUUUCCCGAUAAGAGAGGCUACUAAGGAUAAACAACUAGAUAGCCAGAUCACACACAUAGCAAUACACAUUACACGUACGCAUAACAUGCAAGUAUGUGCUGUAUAACAUGGUAUCACAGCAUAACUCAACAACUCAUAUAGAUAAGGCUCAAGAGCCAUCAUAGCAUUUAUUGCAAACAGGGGUCACACGACCCAACAUUCAGAGCAUACAAGCAACAAGCGGCAGUAUUACAUGUCUGAGUAUAGACAUCUACAAAUGAAAAAGGCUGAAGAGCCUGACUAUCUACAACAUCCGAUCAAGAUCGUAGCUGAGGUACAAGCUACUUGUCGAAGUCCAUAGAAACUAGUAAGACCGAAGUCUCCGCUGCAAAAACAUAAAUAAAGCAACAUGAGUACAAAGGUACUCAACAAGACUUACAUCAGAUCCUAUCAUACAUGCAAUUGUAUCAAGGGGGUAACGUGGGGUUUAGUUGCAGCAAGCCAGCUUUGACUCAGUGGCUAUCCUGUUCUACGGCUACGAGAAAUUUCUUGAGGUGAGAUGGCGCACACGAGUCCACUAAUCACCACACAAUACACUACUAUGGAUUCAUUCAUGUCUCCCUAUGAGAAGGCCGUCCAUAGCACUCACACUUGUCUUGAGCAUUUUAGAGUAUCCACUUCAAGUUGUCUAUGUACCAUGUAAGCAUCCAAGAAGUCCAUAACCGCGAACCCGGCUAUUCGAAUAGAUCAUGUUAACCCUGCAGGGGUGUACUUCUUCACACACACUCUCGCCACUUACCGCCAUGUACACAUCAUGUAACUCGGCAACCUUCAAGCGGAAGCCUGGCGAGGGUGUCGGCCACGACCUGACUAACCACACAAGACUCUAGUCCAGGUUUAUCACCUAUUCGGGUUCCAUCCGCAAGGAGAUCCGGCCGAGGUUUCGCUCACGGCCCCAAACGAUGUGUGCAGGGUUCCCGAGCCCACCAUCCGGGUGCCACUCGGUACACCAUGCCACGUGUUCCUAGUCUGUCCCAUGCCCACCCUGCCGGGUGCCACUUGGUAGAAAAAUAGCACUACCUACAAACACCAGAAACUAGUUGCGACUCCUGGACAGAGAUCAAGUGGGUUAAUAAGUCGAGAGGGGCACUUAAGCAAUCCAAUGCGUGGUAGUAGCUAGUCAUUGGACAACAUACACAGAACUCAGUGCUUAAGGAUGGUUCCAGUGAAACAACCCACCAUGUACUCCUACAUGGCCUCUCACCGCUACCUUUACCAAAUCAUGUUCACACACUUAACUCUCAGCAUCAGAACAUAGAACACUGCACUCCAAUUCAUUCCCAAUGAAUCAGACCUGACACACUCUAAGCAAUAGCAGGCAUGGCAUGGUAGGAACACAACAAUGGCUUCAAUCAACUCCUACACAUGCUAGUGGGUUUCAACUAUUUACCGUGGCAAUGACAGGUCAUGCAGAGGAAUGGGUUCAACUACCGCAGCACAAAGUAGCAAUUGAAUCGUUGUUUUCCUAAUGCAAUAAAUGAGAGCUGGAGCGAGAGAGUAGGAUUGUAUCGGAAUGAACAAGGGGGUUUGCUUGCCUGGUAGAUCAACAAGGAGGGCACUGCUCCUCGGACAGGUACUCUAGAACACUCUCCGGAGCAGGACCUAUCAAGAAGGAACGGUGUCGACAAUCAAAACACAAGCAUAUGCAACAAUAUGAUGCAUGAUCAUGGCAUGUAGAUGUGAUGCUGUUUGAGCUAAUGCAUCUAGCAAUCAUUUGGUUGAAGUUCAUUUGAACCAAGAGUUCAAAUGCAACUCCAAGUUAAGUCUCAUAUAUGCCAUUUAUAUGUUUUUACCUAUACAGCAGGUUUAGGUUGGUUUGUCAUGCAUGAAACUGGUACAGAUGGAUAGAUUGAUUUUUUUCUGAUAAUUUUUCAUAUAUAAAUUAUUUCAAACUGAGCUACGGUUGAAUUUCUAUGAUUUUUUGAAGUUUAGACAAAAUUCUCGAAUUCCCGAUUUAAAUAAAAUCCAGAAAAAGAAUAACUGCGUCAGCAUUACAGAGGCGUGACGUCAGCGAGUCAACCAUGACUGACCGAGUCAAACCUGAUGUGUGGGGUCCACACGUCAGUGAAAUGGGGUUAAACAGGGUUAGUUUACACCUGAUUAAAAGAUUAGGGGCGCCAAGGCCCACUGUCAGUGUGAGGUUUUAGCUUAAUUGGUGAUUAGCCUUAAGCUAAACACCUGGCAGGCCAGGCCCGCAUGUCAGGCCGGCGAGGUCAACGGGUCAAAACCCGCCGGCGUUUAGCCGCCGGCGAGGCCGAACGCGGCGGAGGGCUCGGGAUUGUCGCUCUGGCGACCAUUUGGGCGGCGGAGACCAUCAGCAAGGAGCCCAGGCUCGCGCGCAUCCAGGGGGACUAGCGGAAGGGCGUGGGGUAGCCAGAGUUUGCCGGAGCAAAGCUUGUGGCGGCGGCCGGAGCUCGGGCUCGAGCGGCAGAGGGGCUGGAGGGCGCAGAAGGGUAGGGGAGUAGGGGGAAUCGACGGCGGGGCUCACAGCGGUCUCGAUGGCAUCGUAAGCAAGCUCGGGGAAGGCCGGACGACGGCCUGGUAGCGAGGACGAUCUCCGACGGCCGGAGGCAAAGAUGGCGAUGUUGACGGCAUUCCAGGGCGCUCCAGCUUGCGUGGCUCGGCGGAGAGCUUCAGAGCGAGGAGGCGGAGCUCCUGCGCGUGUCGGAGAGAUGAGGGAGAGGGGGUGGCUACGGCAACGGUGGCCGGUGGUGACGGUGGCGCUCGACCGUGAGAGAGAAAGCGAGGGAGAGGAGAGGAGAGGACUGGGGAGAGAGCGAGGGAGGCUUGGGGGGUGCGUGGCGACACACGCGUGAUCCAGGCGACGAGGGGGAGAAGCGGGAGGUGGCGGGGAGACGUGGCCACGGCCGGCUAUGGCGCGGCCACGCAGCAGCUUCUACUGGCAGGAGCUUGAAGAAGGUCUUGGCAGUUGGGUUGGGCCACCUGCUGGCUGGGCCAGCCUGUUGGGCCACUGGGCCAGGCCAGGCUGCACAGGGAGGUAACAGUCAGGUAGGUUUUUCCCAUUUAUUUUUUUUCUAUUUUUCUGACAUUUGUUUUGAUUUAAUAAUAAUACUAAAUCAUUUUAUUUACUUAUAGCAAUUUUUGUAGGAACUAGCAGUAUUAUUCCAGAGCUCCUCAACAAAUGGCAUAAUUUUUGGACAUAUAUUAUAUGUAUAACAAUUAUAUAUCCAAUGCAAAUAAUUAUGCAUUAAUUCCAAAUGCCCAAAAUAAAUACUUAUGAGCUCCUAAAAAUAUUGGUCUGAUUUUUAUCUCUGUCCAAUAUUUUCAGAGAGCAACAUGAACAUUUUCUUGGACCUUUUUGGAGCAAUUUUUAUCUAGGUCAUUUCCAGAGAUGAUUCUGAGGGUUUCACAAAUCCUCAUUUCAAAAUUAAAUGGAAUUUAAACUUGAUGCACACAUGACUAGCUAGCCUUGAGCAUACCAGAACUAGGGAUGUGACAACUCGCCCCCACUUGAAAGAAUCUCGUCCUGAGAUCCAGGGGUCGACGGAAAGAAAGUGGGGUACUCCAGUCGAAGACGAUCUUCUCGCUCCCAAGUAGCUUCUCUCUCGGAAUGAUGAGACCACUGAACCUUGAGAAACUUGAUGUUCUGAUGUCGAGUGACACACUCUGCUUGAUCAAGAAUGCGAACAGGGUACUCUCGGUAUGUGAGGUUAUCUUGGAGAUCAAGUGUUUCGUGGUCCACUCCGCGGAUGGGAUCCGAGAAGCAACGCCUGAGUUGAGAGACGUGGAAGACAUCAUGCACUCAGGAAAGAUGUGGGGGUAGUUCCAACUGGUAGGCAACCUCUCCUCGUUUAGCGAGAAUGCGAAAAGGGCCAAUGUAACGAGGAGCCAACUUGCCCUUGAUACCGAAACGAUGGGUACCCUUCAAGGGAGUAACCCGAAGAUAAGCUUUGUCGCCAAUUUCAUAGGUCAUAUCCCUAUGAUGACGAUCAUACUGGCUCUUUUGACGAGACUGGGCUGUUUUCAAAAUCUCACGAAUGAUGCAAACUUGCUCUUCUGCCUCCUGGAUCAUGUCUGGUCCAAAGAAUUGUCUUUCACUGGUUUCUGACCAGUUCAAAGGUUUUCGACAUCUUCGUCCAUAGAGAAUCUCAAAAGGAGCUUUCUUGAGACUGGAUUGAUAGCUAUUGUUAUAAGCAAACUCAGCGAAGGGAAGACAUUUCUCCCAAUCCAUACCGAAUGAGAUAACGCAAGCUCUAAGCAUGUCUUCGAGAAUUUGGUUGACCCUUUCCACCUGACCACUCGACUGAGGGUGGAAAGUGGUACUGAAGGAAAGAUGGGUUCCCAUGGCAGUUUGGAAACUCUCCCAGAAAUGAGAAGUGAAAAGACUACCACGGUCUGAAUUGAUCUCUAGUGGAACACCAUGAAGUGACACUAUUCGAGAAACGUAUAAGUCAGCGAACUGACUAGCAGUGAUACUCUCUCGAACAGGUAGGAAGUGCACCACUUUGGAGAGACGAUCAACGACUACGAAGAUAGCGUAAUUCCCUUUCUUGGUCCUGGGAAAGCCGGUGAUGAAGUCCAUACCAACUUUAUCCCAUUUCCACUCAGGAAUAGCUAAAGGCUGAAGGGUGUCAGCAGGUCUUUGAUGCUCUGCCUUAACGCGAUGACAAAUGUCACAGUUGGCAAUAAACUGAGCAAUUUCUCUCUUCAUCCUAGUCCACCAGAACCUCUGGCGUAGGUCCUGAUACAUCUUAGUACUACCGGGAUGAAUCGUGAGAGAAGAUUCAUGCGCCUCCUUAAGAAUCAAUUGUCGCAGAUGUUGAUUCUUGGGAACCACCAAGCGAUUCUCAAAGAAAACAACACCUCGAUCAUCCAUAGAGAAACAUCCACCAACUCCCUUCUUAAUGUUUCUCUUGAUGCGGAUAACACCCCUAUCAAACUUCUGGUCAGUAAUGAUAUGAUACUCGAGGGUAGGUUUCGCCACCAAGGUAGAAAGGAAUCCGUGAGGAGCAAUGUGAAGGUUAAGCUUACAGAAUUCCUCAUGGAGAAGUGGUUGGCCCUACCGCAACAUGAGAUUGUUAGAAUAGGACUUACGACUUAGCGCAUCAGCCAUGACAUUGGCUUUGCCUGGGGUGUAGGUAAUCCCUAGAUCAUAAUCUGAGAUCAACUCCAACCAACGUCUUUGCCUAAGGUUCAAAUCUGGUUGGGUGAAUAUAUACUUGAUACUCUGGUGAUCGGUGUAGAUCUCGCAAUGUUUACCAAGAAGGUAAUCUCAAGUCUUUAGUGAAAUCUGGUGGCACAAGUAUGGGAGCAGAGGUCAGGCGUCUUUUCAGUUCCUGAAAACUGUACUCACACUGUGGGGACCACUCAAACUUUUUAUCCUUCUUGAGAAGUUCCGUGAGGGGUUUGGCUACUUUGGAGAAGUUUUCAACAAAACGACGGCAAUAGCUGGCUAGACCAAGGAAGCUCCUAACUUGUUUAACGGUUUCAGGUGGAGUCCAAUCAAGAACGGCCUUAACUCUCCCAGGAUUGACAGCAAUGCCCUUACCAGAGAUCACGUGGCCUAGAUAGGUCACUUCUGGCAACCAAAAUUCACACUUGGAGAACUUAGCAUAAAGGCGGUGCUCUCUGAGUUUUUCUAACACAAGUCUAAGAUGUUCGGCAUGCUCUUCCUCGUUCUUCGAGUAAAUAAGAAUAUCAUCGAGAUAAACCACGAUGAAUUUAUCUAAGUACUCCAUGAAGAUCGAGUUCAUCAAGCGGGAGAAGGUAGCUGGAGCGUUGGUUAGACCGAAAGACAUGACGGUGUACUCGUACUGGCCAUAACGAGUGACAAAAGUCGUCUUAGGAAUGUCCCCAUUUCUGAUCUUGAUUUGGUGGUAGCCUAACCUCAAAUCCAUCUUAGAAAAGACUGAGGAUCCAGCGAGCUGAUCAUAUAGGUCGUUGAUCCUGGGGAGCGAAUAUUUGUUCUUUAUCGUAACCAAAUUAACGGGAUGAUAAUCUACAACCAUUUGGUCCGUACCAUCCUUCUUCUUGAUGAAGAGGACGGGGCAAGCCCAAGGAGAAGAACUAGGACGGAUGAAACCCUUUUGCAAGGACUCAUCAAGUAGUUUCUUAAGCUCGGCUAGUUCUAAAGGUGCCAUCUUGUAAGGUCUCCUAGAGAUUGGAGCGGUUCCUGGGGUAAGAUCUAUGACGAACUCUACAUCUCUGUCAGGUGGAACACCUGACAGUUCCUCUGGAAAGACAUCCGGGAAGUCACGGACUACCGGGAUAUCUUCAAGGUCUGGAAGAGGGCUGGCAUUAAGAGAAUAGAGCUGACGCUUUGCAACUCUAGUGGAGACAGUGACUAUCUUGCCAGAUGGGUGUGUAAGCUGAACAGACCUGGUAUAACAAUCAAUCUUGGCAUGAUGAGUUGUCAUCCAGUCCAUACCCAAGAUGAUGUUAAUAUCUGAGGACUUGAGGGCUACAAGUGAUGCUAGAAAUACAAGUCUAUCAACAAGGAUUUCAUUACUAUAGCUGAUUCUGGUGGUCUGCCAUCUAGACCCUGGGGUUUGGAUUUCAAGCGGAGUUGGCAUAUCACAAAAUGACAUGUCAGGGAAACUGAUCCACGAACACCUAUGGGACCGGCGGACCGAGUCCCUUUCGGUUCGGCGGGGGGCGGAGAUCGCACGAAGAGCGGAUCAAGGCGAAGCACACGAGCAGUUUACCCAGCUUCGGAGCUCUCUGGAGAGAUAACACUCCUACUGCUGCAUGUCUGAGUGUAUUGAGUUCUUGCUCGGGAGCGCUGAGUGCUACAAUACACACUAGCUGCUAACGAGACCGAGUGUGAGUGUUUUUUUGCCUUCCAACCCUCCUCUACGUUGCGCAUGGGCCUCCUUUUAUAUGCUAAAGGGGUCUCCGACAGGUGGCAACGUAGACAAGGGUAAAAAUGGAAAAGGAAUUGCGGUUGGUACAACUACCUGUACAGUGUAUCAUACCUAACCCUGACGGCAGGGGACAAAGGCAUUAAAUGCCCGUCUACGUCGCCCAAAUAGUGCAAAAAGGGACCGUCAGGGACACCACCGCUUGCCACGAUGGCAGUCUUGUCAGCGUCGCUUGCCACCGCGCACCGCUGGCCGCACAGCCUCUUGCCACGUGUGCCUGGAAAGGUCCCAGGGCGACGCGUUGGUGGAUGUGCUGGAGCGCGGGUACAGAGUGGUAGUUUGCCAUGGCAAGCGCCUUGCCGCGGUCGUUGUCUCGUCGCGUCCGGAAGCUUGUCGCUCACCGGGCCUCGCCGGGAUGCAUGGCGCGUCGCGGCAAGUUCCUUGAGAUGCCUUGGUUGGCCCUCCCGGCAAGCUCCUCUUGCCGGGGCCUUGUCUCCUUGGCUUGAAUACUUUGUUCUUGAAUGGCUCCAAAGGAACCACGGAGGACCUUGGCGGUCACCCGGGAAGCCUUGCCGCGGGGUGCUACAACUGCCCGUGCACAAGUUCGGGAUACUAGGGUACCCCUACUCUAGUACACCGACAGGAGCCCCCGGGCCUGGGCCACACACGGUGCCGAGCGCUGUUGGGCCAGGCCCAAAAUAGGGCACGGGCACGCGCGGCCUGGGUUACGCCGUAUCUCACUCUGUAUCCACCGCGCCCUCCCCGAAUGGCACGCGUCAAAUGCGGCAUCGUGGGAGAAUUCGUGGGUCGUUUCUUUAUUCGGAAAGACGGAACGUCUGCCCCCUCCCUCUUUAUAAGCAGGGGAAACAGGGGCAGUUCGCCCAUCUCGCCGGUUGCUAUUCCAAUCUCGAAAAUCUCCGCCGCUCCCCCCUUCCUCCCAAAGCUGAAAGAGAGCAGCGCUCCGCCCCCCAUCGCCACCGGCACCACCAACGCCGCCGAUCUCUCUCACCACCUCCGCCAUGGCUCCGAAAGCCGGGAAGGUUGUGAAGUCGGCCGAGGCGCAGCGGCUCGCGGCGCUGCGAAAGGAGCGGGCAAUCUUCCCCCCUCAGCUCGCCGCGAAGGAGCUGAGGGAGUAUUACUACCUCUUCUGGUCGACGGAGACGCGAGCGCAUCCGCGCACGAAGGUACUCUCAGCUGCCGCUUCGGAACUGGCUCCGAAUGGAUAUCCCUUCUUCGCGUUGUUCUUCUACUGCAGGCUCUGCCCGCCUUUCUCUGAGUUUUUCUGUGACAUUAUGAACACCUACGGGUUCCGCCUCCUUGACUUCACCCCCAAUGCCGUUCUGACCAUGGCAGUUUUCGCACAUCUCUGCGAAAACUUUGUCGGAGUCUAUCCAAAUGUAGCUCUUUUUCGCCACUUCUUUAUGCCUCGAGUUGAGAGAGGGGAGCCUUUAUCCGGCGGAAUCGCCUGGAUCUCGAGAGCUGGCAAGAAGGAAGUUAUCUGGAGGGAGAGCUCCGCAGCAAGUGGGAGGAAUGGAGAGCAGACUGGUGCUGGAUUGUUGAGGAGAACCCGCAGCCAUUUACCGCCCAGCGCCAAGCCCCAAUAGCGCGCGGCAACGAUUGGAGCAACGUGGCCUGGAAGACGAUAGGCUAAAGAUUGCCAUCACCCGGAUCCUACGCCUCAGGCUUGCUGGGCUCACCGUAGGCGCCGUUGGCGCAGAUUUUCUUCGCCGUCGCAUCACCCCCCUGCAAGAGAGGAGGAGACCCGCCUGGGAGUUCCAGAAUGCAACGGACAUCAUGGGGCUGCGCCCGGGCCUCAACUUCAACUUCACUAUCCUGGAACUGGACGCGAUGCUCCUGGAACUGUUCAAGCGUGAUCCUCAACAUCCCGAAGCGUUUAUGUUGCCGAGGGGCGUCGUUCUGCUGUGCAACAACUCCUCGCUCGACCGCAUCCGUGCAAUGAUGACGCUGUGCGAUUCACAUGGAAUUGUCCCAACUUGGCAAGAGCCUGCAGACGACGUCGUGCAGGAGUUCUUUGACGGCUUGGUAGAAGUGCCGGUCCGCCCUGAUGAAUAGAAGAGCCUUACUCGCGACACCACCGAUGCGGAGAUGCAGCACAUCGCCACUAGGCUGGAAGAGGCGGCGGCAGCAGCUGCCGUGGGCGAGUUUGGAUUCACCGUGGUGGAGGCAGAGGCAGCAGAGGCGGCAAGCCUUGCCGAGCGAGAGGAGCUUGCCGGCGAGGGAGAGCUUGUCGGGCCUGAAGCUGAGUCGAGCGAGCCCGGCGAGGGAGAGCUUGUCGGGCCCGAACCUUCAGACAGCUCGCCGCAAGCGGAGCCCCCAGCUCCACCAAGAAGGUGUCUCCGCAAGGCCGUGGACGUAGCGGGACGGCAGCUUUCUUGACGGGAUAUCUUUGGCGCGCCAGGUAGGGGGCGUCGAGGUUGUGUGAACCUGAUCCGGCGUUCACACGAGCUAGAUCUUCAUCUUCUUCAUCGACAUGCCACCGAAGAAGAAGGCUUCGGCGGCAGCUGUUCCGUCCACAUCGAUCCUACCACCACCGGAGCAAACGGGUGGUGGGGUAGACGCCGGCGGAAGAACGGACAUCGACGAGGAAGCCCACGGUGCUGCCAGGUCCAAGGACAAGGCUGCGCAGACCUCGGCGUCCGUACAUGCACCGGGCCCAUCUCAGGAAGCGCAGGACCGACAGCGUCAUGGUAUUCGCAGUGCCAUACGUUUGUUGAACCAAGAUCGAGCUGGUGGAUCUCGGGGUGCUCAAGACCAGCAUGCACACCAACAUGCUGGCACAAGCGAGACACGGUCGCCUGGACGGGAUACUGCUCCUUCUAACAUAGUUAGAAGUCCGAGCAUAUCCCGCUCCUCGCACCGUUCUCCACUGCCGCCCACCACUCCAGCAGAAGCUUUGGCGCGAGCUCAACUACUCCUGGAUUACCCUCCAACGGCAGACAAGAUCGAUCAAUGGAGGGCCACCAUUCAGAGUCUCAUCGGCUUCGCCAACGGCGACACUCUGUUGUCGGGACCAGAGCUUGCCGGUGAAGUCCCCUGCUUGUCGCUGGAUGCAUCUGCCAUGGUUGCUGGCUCAUCAUCCACCUCCCUCUCCGCUACUAACACAGCACUAACCACUUGAUUGGUUGCUGCUAUAUAUAGCAGCAACUUCUCUUGUGGCUUAGGUGCGACAAGUGUUGGAGUGGAGGACAGGUAUCUCUUUAAGUCCUGCAGUGCAGCCUCCGCCUCCGGAGUCCAUUUCAUUGGACCUGCCUUUUUCAAUAUUUUGAAAAAUGGCAGGGCGUGCUCAGCAGACCUAGGGAUAAACCUGCUGAGAGCAGCUACGCAACCGGCAAGUCUUCGUACAUCCUUGACACGCUUUGGUGCUUCAAUCUGCUCAAUGGCCUUGAUCUUGUCGGGAUUGGCUUCAGUUCCCCGCUGAGACACGAAGAACCCGAGAAGCUUGCCGGAGGGGACUCCAAACACACACUUCUCGGGGUUAAGCUUGAGGUUGAUCUUGCGCAGAUUUGCAAAGGUUUCGUCUAAAUCUUGAAUCAGAGUCGCCUUGUCCUUGCUCUUGACCACUAUGUCAUCCAUGUAGGCUUCCACAUUUCCGUGUAUUUGCAGCUCAAAAGCGUCAUGGACUACCCUUGCAAAUGUUGAACCAGCAUUCUUUAAACCGAAAGGCAUCCGUACGAAAUAGUAUGUGCCACAUGGGGUGAUGAAUGCAGUCUUCUCCUCAUCCUCUUCUGCCAUGAAGAUCUGAUGGUAUCCUGAGUAUGCAUCAAGAAAUGAAAGCAAGUCACAUCCGGCCGUGGAGUCAACAAUCUGGUCGAUGCGCGGCAAGGGAAAUGGGUCUUUGGGACAAGCUUUAUUGACAUCGGUAAAGUCGAUACAAAGCCUCCAUUUCCCGUUUGCCUUGCGCACGACUACAGGGUUGGCCAACCACGUAGGAUGGAGCACUCCUCUGACAAGGCCUGCUGCUUCCAAUUUCUUGAUUUCUUCUGCGAUGAAUUCUUGGCGUUCCACUGCCUGUUUCCUGACUUUCUGCUUGACGGGCCGCGCAUGAGGACAGACGGCAAGAUGGUGCUCGAUUACUUUCCUGGGAACACCGGGGAUGUCAGACGGUUGCCACGCAAAUACGUUGACGUUCGCCCGCAGGAAAGCAACGAGCGCGCUUUCCUAUUUAGGGUCGAGAGUGGCACUGAUGGUGAAAGUACCACCAGUGCCAUCCUCCUUGGCGGACACCUUCUUGGUCUCUGGUGGAGCUCGAUGGUGCGUUCUCGAUGGUAGCGCAGCACUCCGAAGAGGUGCCCUUGCCGGAGUGGGCAUCAGAACUCUUGCCGGACUUGGUCUUCUUCUUUGUCCCGGGAGCUUCAACGGCAAGUGACUUGCGAUCUGUUGCGGCUGCUGCUUCCCGGUAGAUCUUGUCGGCGCAGAUAAGAGCAUCCUUCUUGUCGCCAGGGACAGAGAUGACACUUAUCGAGCCUGGCAUCUUCAGCAUGUUGUAUGCAUAGUGAGAGGCUGCCAUGAAUUUGGCGAGUGCUGGACGGUGGAGUAUCCCAUUGUAAGGCAAUGGAAAGUCAGCAACGUCAAAAGUGACACUCUCAGUCCUGAGGUUCAACUCGCUGCCAAAUGUCACGGGCAACGUGAUCUUUCCCUUCGGCUUGCUCCUUCCCGGAUUGAUUCCUUGGAAUGUGCCGGUCUCUUCGAGCUCGCCAUCAGGGAUCUGGAGUUUCUGGAGUACCGUGGAGGAGAUCAGGUUCAAGCCGGCCCCGCCGUCAACUUGCAUCUUAGUGACCUUGAGGUUGCGGCUAGUUGGUGAAACCAACAUCGGCAAGCACCCGACCGCAGUUAUGCGAUCAGGGUGGUCCUCAAUAUCAAAGAUGAUAGGCGUGCUGGACCAUUUCAGAGGCUUGCUUGACUCGACGGGUGGUUCUGCCGCACUGACUUCCCGCACCCACUGCUUGAGCUGGCGGUGUGAAGUAUGCAGAGAAGCACCGCCGUCAACGCACAGGACCUCUGUGGCUUUCUGGAACUCCUGCUCAUCGAUCUCAUCAUCAUCCAUAUCUUCAUCGUCGUCGUCAUCUUCAUCCUUGUCGCGGCCGCGGGGAGGUCUGUCUCCUUGCCGCUGCUUGGCCUUGCCGUGGCGUCCUCCUCGGCAGGGGCGUUUCUUGCCGGCUCCUCCAGCACCUUCCUGGGCCUUCUCCUUGUCGCGUCGCUCGUAUUCAGCCUUUUGCUGCUCGACAAGCUGCUUGACCUUCUUGCAACUCUGGAGGUCAUGGCCCUUGGUGCGGUGGAUCUUGCAGUACUGCUUAUUGGUGCCGUCCUGCUUGUCGGCGACCGCCACAGCCUGGUAGUUGAUGCGUGCGGCAAUCUCCUCGCCGGAGCUACCAGCUUUGGCUUUCUUGGCACCACCUCCGUUGCCGGACUGCUCAACGACUAGCACAUCUUUGCCUUUCUUCUUCAUGUUGUUCCGCCGCCGGUUUUUCUUUGCCGGGGCAGCCUCCUCACUAUCAGAUCCCCUGCUUCUGUAUUCUCUCCGGGGAGUUUCCUCCCUUCCUCCGCACGUGCACACUUGUCGGCCAGGGCAUAUAGCUCACUGACGUCUCUCAUCUUGCACAUCGCCAUCUCCUCCCGCAUCCUACGGUUUCGCACGUUCUGAUGGAACGCGCUGAUUACCGCGGCGGGGUGGACAUCUGGGAUGUUGUGCUGUACGCGGCUGAAUCUCUGAAUGUACUUGCGCAGGGGCUCUCCUUCCUUCUGGGCGAGCAGAUGAAGGUCGCUCUCUUGGCCAUGAGGCUUGUGGCCGCCUGUAAAGGCGCCGACAAACUGAUGGCAUAGGUCUGCCCAGAGGAUAUGGAGUUGUCCGGCAAGUGCAUGAGCCAGGAUCUAACAUUGGGCUUGAGCACCAGUGGGAAGUAGUUGGCCAGGAUCUUGUCGUCCCGCCCCCCGACAGCUUGCACCGCGAUGGUGUAGAUGCUGAGGAACUCCGACAGAUGUGACUUGCCGUCGUACUUCUCUGGUACGUCUGGCUUGAAAUUCUUCGUGCUGGGCCACUGGACUUGCCGCAGCUCACGAGUGAACGCAGGGCAACCUACCGCGUAAGGCAAGUCGCCUGGUUCCCCUGGUGCAUGCAUGUCGACAGAGGCCCAGCGCGCUGGUCCGAUUGACGCCGCGCUUCUCUUUGGCGCUCGAUUCGAGUACCAGCGUCUUCUUGCUGGCGUUCGUGAAGAACUUGGCGCUGAUCGCGAUGAGCUCGUGGAUCUGAUGAUGCGGUGGAGUCGCUGUUGAGGUGGAUCCGGCGAGACGGCGAUCUUGGCCUUCGGGGUGGAGAGUGCAUGGUGGUUGCACCCCCACCGGUUUCGUCGCCAUCGGCUCGUGCCUGGCAGUCCUGUCGCGACAGCGAUGUACUCGGCCGCCGCGGAGUGUCGCCGUUGGCGAAGCCGAUGAGACUCUGAAUGGUGGCCCUCCAUUGAUCGAUCUUGUUUGCCGUUGUAGGGUAAUCCAGGAGCAGUUGAGCUCGCGCCAAAGCUUCUGCUGGAGUGGUGGGCGGCAGUGGCGAACGGUGCGAGGAGCGAGAUAUGCUCGAACUUCUAACUAUGUUAGAAGGAGCAGUAUCCCGUCCAGGCGACCGUGUCUCGCUCGUGCCAGCAUGUUGGCGUGCAUGCUGGUCUUGAGCACCCCGAGAUCCACCAGCUCGAUCUUGGUCCAAUAAACGUAUGGCACUACGAAUACCAUGACGCUGUCGGUCCUGCACUUCCUGAGAUGGGUGUGGUGCAUGUAUGGACGCCGAGGUCUGUGCAGCCUUGUCCUUGGACCUGGCAGCACCGUGGGCUUCCUCGUCGAUGUCCGUUCUUCCGCCGGCGUCUACCCCACCACCCGUUUGCUCCGGUGGUGGUGGGAUCGACGUGGACGGAACAGCUGCCGUUGAAGCCUUCUUCUUCGGUGGCAUGUCGAUGAAGAAGAUGAAGAUCUAGCUCGUGUGAACGCCGGAUCAGGUUCACACAACCUCGACGCCCCCUACCUGGCGAACCAAAGAUGUCGGGGAAAUUGAUCCACGAACACCUAUGGGACCGGCGGACCGAGUCCCUUUCGGUUCGGCGGGGGGCGGAGAUCGCACGAAGAGCGGAUCGAGACGAAGCACACGAGCAGUUUACCCAGCUUCGGAGCUCUCCGGAGAGAUAACACUCCUACUGCUGCAUGUCUGAGUGUAUUGAGUUCUUGCUCGGGAGCGCUGAGUGCUACAUUACACACUAGCUGCUAACGAGACCGAGCGUGACUGUUUUUCUGCCUUCCAACCCUCCUCUACGUUGCGCAUGGGCCUCCUUUUAUAUGCUAAAGGGGUCUCCGACAGGUGGCAACGUAGACAAGGGUAAAAAUGGAAAAGGAAUUGCGGUUGGUACAACUACCUGUACAGUGUAUCAUACCUAACCCUGACGGCAGGGGACAAAGGCAUUAAAUGCCCGUCUACGUCGUCCAAAUAGUGCAAAAAGGGACCGUCAGGGACGCCACCGCUUGCCACGAUGGCAAUCUUGUCAGCGUCGCUUGCCACCACGCACCGCUGGCCGCACAGCCUCUUGCCACGCGCGCCUGGAAAGGUCCCAGGGCGACACGUUGGUGGAUGUGCUGGAGCACGGGUACAGAGUGGUAGUUUGCCGCGGCAAGCGCCUUGCCGCGGUCAUUGUCUCGUCGCGUUCGGAAGCUUGUCGCUCACCGGGCCUCGCCGGGAUGCGUGGCGCGUUGUAGCAAGUUCCUUGAGAUGCCUUGGUUGGCCCUCCCGGCAAGCUCCUCUUGCCGGGGCCUUGUCUCCUUGGCUUGAAUACUUUGUUCUUGAAUGGCUCCAAAGGAACCACGGAGGACCUUGGCGGUCACCCGGCAAGCCUUGCCGCGGGGUGCUGCAACUGCCCGUGCACAAGUUCGGGAUGCUAGGGUACCCCUACUCUAGUACACCGACAUGACAUGUCGUGCAAACGAGCAUAGCCAUCAGAAAUGAAGGAGUGAGAUGCUCCAGAAUCGAAUAGAGCCGAUGAUGGGUGACAGUUGACAAGGAGUGUACCAAGAACGACAUCCGAAUCAUCAUGAGCGUCUUUAGCUGAGACGUGAUGCACACGUCCACGUUUAGUGCGAGCUGGCUUGGCACUGAUUGUCUUGCUUGAUGGCUUAACACAUCCAACAGUCUUCUCGGGCUGGGGUGGAGCAUAACUAGUUUGAGAGCAGUCACGUGCAUAGUGUCCUGGCUUCCCACAUGUGAAGAAAGUCCCUGAAGUUGGACGUGCACCUGCACUAACAAGCGAUCUACCAGUAGGCCUGGGUGGAACAUAUGACUGAGCUGGGGAAGGCACCACAUAAGAUGGUUUCGGUGUAUAUCCAGAAGGAACAGCGGAGUUUGGAACCCAAAUCCGGCGCUUCUAGGAACUAGAACUGGAGGAAGAUCCCAAAUCACGGGUGUGCUUACGAGACUCCUCGUAAGUGAGCUGUGCUGUCUCGGCAUUAAUGGCCUUGUUCACAAGAGCCUGGAAUGUAUCACAAUGAUGCAGGUGGAGAUCACGAUACAACUUGGGGUUGAGACCCUUCCGGAACCUAGCCUGCUUCUUGGCGUCUGUGGACACCUCUUCUGUGACAUAGCGGGCGAGGUUCUCAAACUCUCUACUGUAGGCAUCAACAGCCAUCUUACUCUUGGUGAGACUACAGAACUCUUCUCUCUUGCGAUUUAUGAGGGCCUCAUGAAUGUGAUGCUCGCGAAAAGCCUCGGUGAAAUCUCUCCAGGUAGGAAUCUGGCCAGCUGGAAGCAUAGCCUCAUAGUUCUGCCACCAAAGACUAGCGGGACCUUCCAGGUGGUAUGUGGCAUAGGUUACCUUGUCAUCUUCAACUACGUUCGCGGAACGCAGCUUAUGAGUGAUGCUACGGAGCCAGUCAUCUGCAUCGAGUGGACUCGAUGGAAUGAUGAAAGGUAGGUGGGUGCAAGCGAAUGAAGUCAUGAAUGGUUACAGACCCUUUGAACUGAUGUGCGGUGUUCUCCUCGAUACGUGCCAACAGGCGGUUAGACUCACGCUUGUUCCUCUCCAUCUCUAACAUGAACUCUGCCAACGAAGGCUGGUCGGGAGGAUCCUCAUCUCUACCAUCUCCGUGGUUCUGGCUACAAGCAACAAAACUUCGCUUAACUGAUGACAUCCUGAGAAACGAAACCAAGGACAGAAUCAACAUCAACUAUAGGCUGUAGAAUGUAAGACAAGGGAAUUAGUAACUCUCAAACUCCUAGGGCAAUUCUGGCAGUAUAACGGCAGUAAAAUGCUCAGAAUGAGACAUCCUGCCAAAAAUGGGGUAGUACAACAACUCAACAACACCACUCAAGGUUCUGAGAUCAUACUAAAUAGGCUACACCGGAAGUACUCGAAACUGGGAUAUGACUCUGACCAACCAAUCCUAUGGGACUACGGAGUAGUAACACGUGAUCCUGAUAGACAUAAGAGAAUCCUAGUUCCUUAACCCCGCAGGAAAGAUAGGAUGACUCAAAUCAGAAGGCCAUGAGGUAUAAGGAGUAAAAAGAGCCUUACGUUCCUUCCCACAAUCAAUUCCCUUACAUAACUAAAGAAUUUCUAGACUCAACUUCGACCAGUUUGGCUUGGUAAUCCUACAGGCAGUCAUGCUGUGAUACCAAAGCUGUCAGGACCCCGAUUCUAUGUCACACCGAUCUAGCAUGUAACACCUCAUAUCACUUUGCGGCCUCACGCACGGUAUUCCCACGGGUGUCGCCUUACCAUGCCGGGGACCGUUUGCGCCUGUUGGCACACGUAUAUGAUAGUGUCGCUAGCAUCCAUAUGACAAAGAACCCAGGCUGACAUAGCUAGUCGUGAACCCAAAGUGGCACUAACUUACAGGGACAGGCAUACAUGACCCAGCAACGAACGUGUCGGUCAUCAACGAGUGAAUCUGGGCUGUAGCAACUGGGCUAGCAGGACUCCGGUAAACCGGGCUGUAGCAGGCUAACAGGACUCCAGUAGACACCGUGUGACAUUUCCCCGAAGGGACAGACACAAGAACGAAGAAGGACACAUGCCGGCCAGCCUAAGUGUUCCGGAGCAGUAGCAAGCUACCAUGGCUCAGUGGUAGCACUAGGAGACAUUUCCCGGUAAGAGAGGCUACUAAGGAUAAACAACUAGAGAGCCAGAUCCCACACAUAGCAAUACACAUUACACGUACGCAUAACAUGCAAGUAUGUGCUGUACAACAUGGCAUCGCAGCAUAACUCAACAACUCAUAUAGAUAAGGAUCAAGAGCCAUCAUAACAUUUAUUGCAAACAGGGGUCACACGACCCAACAUUCAGAGCAUACAAGCAACAACCGGCAGUAUUACAUGUCUGAGUACAGACAUCUACAAAUGAAAAAGGCUGAAGAGCCUGACUAUCUACAACAUCCAAUCAAGAUCGUAGUUGAGGUACAAACUACUUGUCGAAGUCCACAGAAACUAGUAAGACCGAAGUCUCCGCUGCAAAAACAUAAAUAAAGCAACAUGAGUACAAAAGUUACUCAGCAAGACUUACAUCAGAUCCUAUCAUACAGGCAAUUGUAUCAAGGGGGUAAUGUGGGGUUUAGUUCCAGCAAGCCAGCUUUGACUCAGUGGCUAUCCUGUUCUACGGCUACGAGAAAUUUCUUGAGGUGAGAUGGCGCACACAAGUCCACUAAUCACCACACAAUACACUACUAUGGAUUCAUCACCGUCUCCCUACGAGAAGGCCAUCCAUAGCACUCACACUUGUCUUGAGCAUUUUAGAGUAUCCACUUCAAGUUGUCUAUGUACCAUGUAAGCAUCCAAGAAGUCCAUAACCACGGACCCGGCUAUUCGAAUAGAUCAUGUUAACCCUACAGGGGUGUACUUCUUCACACACGCUCUCGCCACUUACCGCCAUGUACACAUCAUGUAACUCGGCAACCUUCAAGCGGAAGCCUGGCGAGGGUGUCGGCCAUGACCUGACUAACCACACAAGACUCUAGUCCAGGUUUAUCGCCUAUUCGGGUUCCAUACGCAAGGAGAUCCGGCCGAGGUUUCGCUCAUGGCCCCAAACGAUGUGUGCAGGGUUCCCGAGCCCACCAUCCGGGUGCCACUCGGUACACCAGGCCACGUGUGCCUAGUCUGUCUGAAGCCCACCCUACCGGGUGCCACUUGGUAGAAAAAUAGCACUACCUACAAACACCAGAAACUAAUUGCGACUCCUGGACAGAGAUCAAGUGGGUUAAUAAGUCGAGAGGGGCACUUAAGCAUUCCAAUGCGUGGUAGUAGCUAGUCAUUGGACAACAUACACAGAACUCAGUGCUUAAGGACAGUUCCAGUGAGACAACCCACCAUGUACUCCUACAUGGCCUCUCACCGCUACCUUUACCAAAUCGUGUUCACACACUUAACUCUCAGCAUCAGAACAUAGAACACUGCACUCCAAUUCAUUCCCAAUGAAUCAGACCUGACACACUCUAAGCAAUAGCAGGCAUGGCAUGGUAGGAACACAACAAUGGCUUCAAUCAACUCCUACACAUGCUAGUGGGUUUCAACUAUUUACGGUGGCAAUGACAGGUCAUGCAGAGGAAUGGGUUCAACUACUGCAGCACAAAGUAGCAAUUGAAUCAUUGUUGUCCUAAUGCAAUAAAUGAGAGCAGGAGCGGGAGAGUAGGAUUGUAUCAGAAUGAACAAGGGGGUUUGCUUGCCUGGUAGAUCAACAAGGAAGGCACUGCUCCUCGGACAGGUACUCUAGAACACUCUCCGGAGCAGGACCUAUCGAGAAGGAACGGUGUCGAUAAUCAAAACACAAGCAUAUGCAACAAUAUGAUGCAUGAUCAUGGCAUGUGGAUGUGAUGCUGUUUGAGCUAAUGCAGCUAGCAAUCAUUUGGUUGAAGUUCAUUUGAAUCAAGAGUUCAAAUGCAACUCCAAGUUAAGUCUCAUAUAUGCCAUUUAUAUGUUUUUACCUAUACAGCAGGUUUAGGUUGGUUUGUCAUGCAUGAAACUGGUACAGAUGGAUAGAUUAAAUUUUUCUGAUAAUUUUUCAUAUAUAAAUUAUUUCAAACUGAGCUACAGUUGAAUUUCUAUGAUUUUUUGAAGUUUAGACAAAAUUCUGGAAUUCUUGGUUUAAAUUAAAUCCAGAAAAAGAAUAACUGCGUCAGCAUUACAGAGGCAUGACGUCAGCGAGUCAACCGUGGCUGACCGGGUCAAACCCGACGUGUGGGGUCCACACGUUAGUGAAAUGGGGUUAAACAGGGUUAGUUUAAACCUGGUUAAAAGAUUAGGUGCGCCGGGGCCCACUGUCAGUGUGAGGGUUUAGCUUAAUUGGUGAUUAGCCUUAAGCUAAACACCUGGCAGGCCAAGCCCGCACGUCAGGCCGGUGAGGUCAACGGGUCAAAACCGGUCAGCGUUUAGCCGCCGGCGAGGCCGAACGCGGCGGAGGGCUCGGGAUUGUCGCUCCGACGACCAUUUGGGCGGUGGAGACCAUCAGCGAGGAGCCCAGGCUCGCGCGCAUCCAGGGGGACCAGCGGAAGGGCGUGGGGUAGCCAGAGUUCACCGGAGCAAAGCUCGCGGCGGCGGCCGGAGCUCGGGCUCGAGCGGCAGAGGGGCUAGAGGGCGCAGAAGGGCAGGGGAGUAGGGGGAAUCGACGGCGGGGCUCACAGCGGUCUCGAUGGCGUCGUAAGCGAGCUCGAGGAAGGCUGGACGGUGGCGUGGUGGCGAGGAUGAUCUCCGGCGGCCGGAGGCGAAGAUGGCGAUGUUGACGGUGUUCCAGGGCGCUACGGCUGCGUGGCUUGGCGGAGAGCUUCAGAGCGAGGAGGCGGAGCUCCUGCGCGUGUUGGAGAGGCGAGGGAGAGGGGGUGGCUACGGCAACGGUGGCCGGUGGCAACGGUGGCCGGUGGCAACGGUGGCGCUCGGUCAUGAGAGAGAAAGCGAGGGAGAGGAGAUGAGAGGACUGGGGAGAGAGAGAGAGGGAGGCUUGAGGGUGUGUGGCGACGCGCGCAUGAUCCAGGCGACGAGGGGGAGAAGCAGGAGGUGGCGGGGAGACGUGGCCACGACUGGCUGUGGCGCGGCCACGCAGCAGCUCCUACUGGCAGGAGCUUGAAGAAGCUCCUAGCAGUUGGUUUGGGCCGCGUGCUGGCUGGGCCAGCCUGUUGGGCCACUGGGACAGGCCAGGCUGCACAGGGAGGUAAGCGCCAGGUAGGUUUUUCCCAUUUCUUUUUCUUUUCUAUUUUUCUGACAUUUGUUUUGAUUUAAUAAUAAUACUAAAUCAUUUUAUUUACUUAUAGCAAUUUUUGUAGGAACUAGUGGUAUUAUUCCAGAGCUCCUCAACAAAUGGCAUAAUUUUUGGACAUAUAUUAUAUGUAUAACAAAUAUAUAUCCAAUGCAAAUAAUUAUGCAUUAAUUCCAAAUGCUCAAAAUAAAUACUUAUGAGCUCCUAAAAAUAUUGGUUUGAUUUUUAUCUCUGUUCAAUAUUUUUAGAGAGCAACAUGAACAUUUUCUUGGACCUUUUUGGAAUAAUUUUUAUCUAGGUCAUUUCGAAAGAUGAUUCUGAGGGUUUCACAAAUCCUCAUUUCAAAAUUAAAUGGAAUUUAAACAUGAUGCACACAUGACUAGCUAGCCUUGAGCAUACCAGAACAAGGGAUGUGACAAGAUUUCAAAAGCGACCCAAGGCCUGGAGUAUCUGAGCCUGCUAAAGACUUUGUUCGGCAGAUGCUGGAUCGAAAUCCAAUCACACGAUUUACUGCAACACAAGUACUCAUUCAGCAUUAUGAUGUUACCUUUCCCAUUGUGUAAUAGCAUACAGAAUGUUUUCUCUCUCUCAUAAUGGUGAAUUCAAUCUUACAUUCGGGUAUGUCUUUUUUAUGCCAUAGCCAUGGCCAAUUGAUAAUUAACUUGCAGGGUUUUAAUAAUUGCAUCAGACAAUUUCACUGUUUAUUUUGUGGCAUUGUUGAUUGCAUCAGUAGAACACCCAUGGUUACAUGAUUCUAAAAAGAACACUUGACAUUUCUCAAUAUAAUCGGCGGUGUCUGUCAGUAGGAUCUCCCUAAACAUGCGUCAUCAAAUCCAACCACAAGCUACACGACAAUCUAUGAUUGAAUACCAUGUACAAGUAUGGGGACAGAGUAGUAAACAACAAAUAAAGGAUACUAGACGGAUAUACUAGACGGAUGCAUGGAGCAUGAACUCCUCUUUUUCAGGGGCCACCUUACUCGUGUGCCCUCAGGCUGAGGAGACCUUUCUAAGGUACGUACUACUUCCUUGCUGAUUUCAACCAAGAAAGAAUGUUAUUUUGUUCAAUAUAAUUAGUGGUGUGUGACAUUAGGAUCUCGUGUUUGAUCUACAUUUCUUUAUUCACUGAAUUUGUAGACCACUUGCGAGUCAGUACCUAGGAAAAUAAACAUUUUUCUACCUCAAAUUUGCAGAUCAAUCCUUGCCUAAAUAUUUCCCUGGGCCGAAUACACUUCUUAUCCCAAAGUGAUAAACAUGCCUACGUUAGCAUCACGACACACAUAGCACUAGCAAACAGUUCUGCAUGAAAUCCUGGAAGCAUUUCAUUUCCUCAGCAAUUAUUUUUUUCAAAUCUUUCAACAACAAGCUGACUGUUCAUGUCCUUAAUUAAUCUAAACCUAUAUCCCUUGUUAAAUCUAAAGACAUGUUUGCAUAAUUUUGUGAGUUUUUUCCCAUGCUUUUGUAACAUCCCAAUUUUUAUUAAAUUCGGAUGUUAAUAGAAUCAUUCAAUGCAUAUCAUAUUUCUUUGCAUUUUUGGAGUUUUUAAAAAAUAUUCAAAUAAUACUUUCCACUCGAGAAAAACAAAUGAGAGGGGAUAAGAUGACUUCCUCAAAAUAUAAAAGAGUGGGAAAUUUUAUUUUGAAUAUUAUUUGAAGUUUUGGAGUUUAUUUGGUAUUUUUUUUAUCUGCAAAAAGUGCAUUAAUUGCAUUAGGAAAUAUUUUCAAAAUGUUCUGUGCUUAAGUUAAUGUUCAUUAGGCUUUAAAUAUUGCAUAGUUAUUUUAUAAAUUAUUGUGGUGUUUUUAUUAAUUCUUUUGAAUUAAUUAUGACCACUUUAGUGUUCUGUUUAAAAAAAAAAGCACACGCACGCACUCACCCGCCUGGACCGAAACCAGUUCGGCCCAGGGACGCGCGCGCCUAGCCAGCGCGCCAGGCCAGCCAGCCCACUGGCCAUUCGGCCCCAGGCCAGCCCCAGCGCCCAACGCCUUCCGCCCGGUCGACCGCCCGCGCCCGCCCUCGCUCGCUGCCGCCGCCGCCACUGACUGGUGGGCCCCGCUCCACCCCAUCNNNNNNNNNNNNNNNNNNNNNNNNNNNNNNNNNNNNNNNNNNNNNNNNNNNNNNNNNNNNNNNNNNNNNNNNNNNNNNNNNNNNNNNNNNNNNNNNNNNNNNNNNNNNNNNNNNNNNNNNNNNNNNNNNNNNNNNNNNNNNNNNNNNNNNNNNNNNNNNNNNNNNNNNNNNNNNNNNNNNNNNNNNNNNNNNNNNNNCCGCCGCCGCCACUGACUGGUGGGCCCCGCUCCACCUCAUCUUCCCCAACCUCCCGCUUCUCCCGCAGGAUGAGCACGCGCACGCACUCCCGAACCCGCCGGCCGAAGCUCUCGGGAUAGAGCUUAUCCCGCUGCUCCCCGACGCCCUCCCCUCGCCUAUAUAAAGGCCAAGACCCCCUCUUCCAUCCUCGCCGUCCCGCAUCUUCCCACGCCGCCCCUACCGCUCGUCGUCGCCGUUCGCAUCUCGCCGGAGCUCCGAGCCCCGCCGUCCUCGCCCCGCCCCGUCCGGACGUCGCCGACGCACGCCGCCACCACCUUCGCGACGCCCUCGACGCGCCGCACCUCCCCGUCUUCUUCCCCGACGCCGAGGACCGCCGUAGCCGCCGUCCCCUCCGCCACCGACGCCGCGCCGCCGUCUUCGUCAUCGCCGGCCACCACCUCCAGCCCACUGUAAGCCGCCGCCCCACCCUCGCCCGUUAGAUCGGACCCCAACGGUCCAGAUUAGAUUAGGUUCGGUUUUUUUUAUUUUGCGAAGAGGUACGCGGUUAACCGCGGUUCCCUUAGACCGGCCGGUUUUAUUUAAACCGAGCGUCGGUUUUUCUUUAGUUAGCCGCCGCCACUGUUUUCCUUAUUUAGCGGCCGUUCGCCGUAUAACCUCCGCAGCGGACGCUGCUCGGCCAGCCACGAGCCACCACGUGGCCAGGGACUUGUUUGCGAUGGUUUUCUUCUCUGUUUAGUCCCUGUAAUUAGCAGAUUAGUCCCUAAACUUCGCGUAGCCACAACUUUUUAACCGUAGAUCCAAACUCGAUGAAACCAGCGGCAAAUCCUUCGUAUUGUUUAGAUCUAUCCAGUGGUAUCCUUUUUGCAAACUUUUGACAGAUUCAAAUUUGAAUUUAUUCAGAUUUGAAUUCGAACUUCAAAUGGCCAUAUCUCCCAAACCGUAACUCCGAUUAAGUUGAUUCUUUUUGCACUUUGUCACUGUAGCCAAACCCUAUCACCUGGACCUUUGUCACAAUAAUUUUCACACACUAGAAUCUGCCCAUUAAUAUUUUUACUAGUAUGCAUAGUACGCACUAUAGUUCACAUCACUCUUUGAACCAUAGGCCUAUGUUGUUUUGCAUCUAGAAAUAUUUUUCAUGCUAGUUAAGUGUGAUGUUUGUUCAUUUGGUUUUUCCGAGACUUUUGCUUUGCAUGUUCUUCUUGGUUCUCUUGAAUGUUUGUUUAUGUUUGUUUAUCUCCUUUGCGAUAGAUUGCCCGGAGUGCGAAGCAGAAUAUUUUCAGUCUUUAGAGUUCAACCAGCAGUACCAAGGCAAGUUGCAUCUUGAUCAUGUUUCCUUACCUAUGUUUUUUUUAUGCACUUAGUUCUUUGCGGUAGGACUGCAUGGUAGGAAUUGAUGCCGCAUGACUAUGCUUUUCACCCAGUAGUUCAUUGAGGUAGGUCUGAACCAUAUGACAUUGUCGCCAUCGUUUUACAUUAUGUUGCUUCGCUAAGUAGACGUGGAUUGGGGAGUGAACAUUGUAAAGUAUGAGUAACAAUGUAGUAAGUAGGACCUAAGAUAAUUAAUGAACUACCUGGGCGGAAACUUGAUGGAAUGGUGGCGAAGUACAGUGGGGCACGCAUGGGAAAUCCAUGGUGGUGCACCACUAGUGGACCGUCCGCUCAGGCUCAAAGAGAUCAAUCAUAUUCUCAUGUCUAGAAGCUUACGUGUGCAGCCACAAGCCAAUAUGGGCUCUGGCUUAGUUGAGUAGUUAGUGUGACCCCUUCCGGGAUGGGCUAGCAGAUGUAGAAGGAUGUAGGUGUACCGGCCUAUCCGUGGGUUAAGGGGGAGCAUUUUCGAAAGACUAUGUCUCGAUCUUCCGAUCAUGGAGGUGGUCGAGUCUUGUGGGGAAAAGUGCGCAACCUCUGCAGAGUGUCAACCUAAUCGAUUAGCCGUGUCCCCGGUUACGGACAUCUUGAGCUUCUAGUAGUGAAAAUGCUGGGAGAUCUCCUCACCUUUAAUUAAACAGUUGGGAUUUAAAUGAAACUUGGGAUCGGAUGGAGUUGGGUUUGCCAACUCAUCCUAUGCAAAUGUGUAGUAGUAGAAUAACAUCUUUUCUAAUAGGGAAAAACUAGCUUUAUGCAAAAAAUUAAACUUAGAGCUUUCCACCAGCCAAAUUGCAUGUACAAGUAGGUUCAUUACACUUAUGAUGUGACUUGCCAGUACAUUCAAUGUACUGACCUAUAUGGCUGCAACUUAUCACGUUGCAGAUAUAUCCGACGAGGAUUAAGGUGCUAUAGGUCGAUGUUCUACACUCAACCUUGCUCGUGGAGUUGGACUCAUUUACUACUUUGCUUCUGCAGUAUUUGUUUAUUGGCUCUAUGCCCUAUUUGGUAAUAAAUGUAUUGCUCCUGGACUAUCGAUGUAAUAAAGAGAUGUGUGUUAUUUCUGUUAUUUCAUCGAGUACUGUGUGUGCUAGCAAGUCGAUCCAGGGACUAGCACGGUAAGCACAGAGACUUUGACUCUUACCGAGUCGGGUCGCUACAAGAUGGUAUCAGAGCACAUGUUGACUGUAGGACGCGACCCCUAGAAAAUGGAAAAGCCAUAGGAUAAAACUUUAUUUUUCAUUUUCCCUAUAUAUCCUUUGGUCUCGUACCUUCUUUACUUCUGUACUAAUUUCUUCCCUCUUUCAAAAUUUAGAUGUCGUCCGCCAUUGUCGAGUUUGAGCAGCCCGAUGGGACCAUGCCUUUUGGACGGCAGCUGGUGAAGAUCGUGAAGCACCUGAAGAUUGGGCUUCCCACAUUCACUGGAACCUUCACCGCCACCCUGCCCGAGGAGACAUGUUGGAGGAUCGAUGCCCAUAUCCCUAGACGCAUCCUCGGAAACCGCACCAAGCCCAUUGAUUUCCAUGUGGAUACUGCAACAUGGGGCUUGGGCAGGGGCAUCGCUGCUCACAUUGCUCUCGGACGCAUUCGGGAGGAGUAUGACGAAGACCUCAAGAGGACCUCCUUCGUGAUGUACGGACGCCGUGACGCAAAAGGAGAUGUGGUGCGUACCCUGGAGGACGAGACGAUAGCAUCCCAUAUCCAGGACAUGGAGGAUCACAUUCAUAUGAUGGAGCUGGAGCUGUCUGACAACAUGAUCGUCAUCAAGAACCUCAUGACUCGCAAGGCCGAUCUCGAGGAGGAACUCCAAGACGCUCGCAUCGAGCAUGAGGGAGAGCUGGACGCACUACAGGAGAAGAUCGACGAUCUGAAGCUUGAGCUUGAGGAGGCCGAGGAGAAGCUGGAUGAGGGAGAAAACAUUCAGGAGGAUCACUCGUAUGGUGCCUAUGUCAGCCAGGACAAGGACCAGGGUGAUGAGCUUAGAGAUGAUGACACCGACAGUGAUGCAAGGACACCUGAUGUCAACAUGGUUGACUGGUCUUCAUCCGACGAGAGUUAGAUUUUAUACCACCAAGAGAGUUAGAAAUUUGAUUUCAUUAUCCGAUUAGUUUUAUUUCAUUUGUGAGACCUUGUCAAAUCUUGUGACAUGGCUUACCUUAGGUUUGAUUGUUCAUGUGAACCCCUUUGAGUGAAAUUGAAUUGGAGUGAUUUGAAGUUUUAUUGCUAUCAUGUGCAUAUGGGUAGUAUGAUUUUACUCCCUAGGCCUUAUUCUAUUCUGACUUCUCAUCCACUCUAAACCCAUCAGAUGCCUCCAAGACGUGACCCCGAAUUCAACUUUCCGCCGGAGCUCACGCAAUUGAUCCAGCAGCAGAAUGCUCUUAUGCAGAUGCUCAUUCAGAACCAGAACCAGAACAACAACAACCCACCGCCGCCACCCUCAGUUGAUAGUCUUACCCGUUUUCUGAGGCUGAAACCACCCGUGUUCUCCAGCAGCACGGAGCCAAUCGUCGCAGAUGACUGGCUCCGCAAGAUAGGAAGGGAGCUAGCCA
rnacentral:lncRNA from 1 species